rnacentral:rRNA from 1 species
CGCGUGGGUAAUCUACCUCUAAAUUGGGGAUAACAUUGUGAAAGCGAUGCUAAUACCGAAUAAUAUCUCGAGAACUUAGGCUUUUGGGAUCAAGGGUGGCCUCUACAUGUAAGCUACUGUUUAGAGAUGAGCUCGCGUACCAUUAGCUUGUUGGUAGGGUAAUGGCCUACCAAGGCAACGAUGGUUAGCUGGUCUGAGAGGAUGAUCAGCCACACUGGAACUGACACACGGUCCAGACUCCUACGGGAGGCAGCAGUGAGGAAUUUUGCGCAAUGGGGGAAACCCUGACGCAGCAACGCCGCGUGAGUGAUGAAGGCUUUCGAGUCGUAAAGCUCUGUCAAGUGGGAAGAACCUUACUUUUUGUUAAUAUCAUUAAGUACU